AGUGAACGCUGGCGGUAGGCCUAACACAUGCAAGUCGAACGGCAGCACCGUAAUAGCUUGCUCUUACGGGUGGCGAGUGGCGGACGGGCGAGGAAUACAUCGGAAUCUACUUUUUCGUGGGGGAUAACGUAGGGAAACUUACGCUAAUACCGCAUACGACCUACGGGGGAAAGCAGGGGAUCUUCGGACCUUGCGCGAUUGAAUGAGCCGAUGUCGGAUUAGCUAGUUGGCGGGGUAAAGGCGAACCCAGGCGACGAUCCGUAGCUGGUCUGCGAGGAUGAAGAGCCACAGUGGCAGUGAGACACGGUAGAGACCCCUACGGGAAGCAGCAGUGGGGAAUAUUGGGAAAUGGGCGCGAGCCUGAUACAGCCAUACCGCGUAGGUGCAGAAGGCCUUCGGGUUGUAAAGCCCUUUUGUCGGGAAAGAAAAGCAGCAGGUUAAUACCCCGCUGUACUGACGGUACCCAAAGAAUAAGCACCGGCUAGCUUCGUG
rnacentral:rRNA from 1 species